rnacentral:rRNA from 1 species
UACGAAGGGUCCAAGCGUUGUUCGGAAUCAUUGGGCGUAAAGCGCGCGCAGGCGGAUCAGUAAGUCAGGUGUGAAAUCUCGAAGCUCAACUUCGAAACUGCGCCUGAAACUACUAGUCUAGAGUGUCGGAGGGGGAAGGGGAAUUUCACGUGUAGGGGUAAAAGUCCGUAGGAGAUGUGAAGGAACACCGGGGGCGAAGGCGCCUUCCUGGACGACUACUGACGCUGAGGCGACGAAAGCCGUGGGGAGCAAACGGG